CCUCUCUGAGAGACAGCCAGGCAGAGAUCGUUUAUGAGGAAGCCUUGGCAGUGACUAGCAAAAUUCCACUUAGCUUCACUCCAUUGAUUUCACCGAUGCAGAUUUCGUUUAGUUUUACAAAUGGGAAUGGAAUGACCACCAGAGGCAGGGUACCAUGUACUGUGCUGGGCACCUAAAGAUGAAUUAGGCACAGUUCCCCCUUUCAGUUUACCUCAGUGUGAAAGAUGCUACCAUAUGCUGUUAUUUUCUUUAAGUUUUAUGCUAAUUACUUCAAUAACAGAUCUGACAGUCAUUGGGUAUUCCAUCGAGGUUUAAUGAAUUAAUUCCUACAAAGCACUGAGCCCGGAGCCUGCUCGUAAGAAGGGCUCAGUGUGCGACAACUCCAUUGCAAGAGUGCUGUUAUGAUGCUUAUUUUAUAGUAUGACAAAGAAACCUGGGCAGAUGGAGACUGAGUAACUUGGAGUGCCACAGACUUAACAAGUGAUGGAGCUGGGACAUGAACUCGGAUGUAUCUGUCUUUGAUUAGAUUUGUGAAUGUGGAACACUGCAGCCAAUCUAUUUUCAUUUUAUCUGGAGUGAGUUGACCUGCUAAGUCUGGAGGAAUUCCAAGGGACCGAAGUAAAAACCAGAGCAAGCCGAAGAGGGGUCUCAUGAACCCCAAGUUUCAGCCUACUGGGAGAUGACUCACUCAAGUGCUUGCUGUCUGGGUCUAAGGACUUGAGUGUGAUCCCCAGCACCCAUAUUUGUUUGCUUGUUAAAGCUAAGAGUGAUGGUUGAUGUUUGAAAUCCAAGCAUUGGGAAGGGGUAGACAGACAUAUCCCUGGGGUUCCCUCACUGGCCAGUCACCCCCUCAUCUCCUUAGUGAGCACCAGGUCAGAGAGGCUGUCUACAAAACAAAAGAUGGAUGGCUCCUGAAGAAUGACUCUAAGAGUGAGCCCAGCCUCCUCACGCACGUGCACACAAUGCAUGCACAAAUGCACACCACCUCCACACCGAUUCUGAGCUUUCACAACCCGGCAAGGGAUGCAAGCCUGUGCUUGAACAGGGCUUGAAAGGCAGGCUCACUGCGCUGACCUUUCAGAAUCUCUGCCUCUUUAUCAAUAAUGCAAACACCAGUUCACUGUGCAGAGCAGAUACGGCACUUAAAACUCCCAGAGAUCAGGAUAUAUCCCCACUGUGAUUUCAGAGAGUAAAUACAGAGGAGGAGGCCAGAGCAGCAGGCAGCAGCCAGCAGCCAGCAUCUUGCCUUGAGCUCCUGGUGCCCAGACUGACCCUGGUAGUAGGUAAGAAAUAAUUACUGAAAAGCAAAAAGAAACUAUCAUUUUACUCCCACAAAACCAUGUCAGAUUUUAGCACCUAAUACAUAAAUUUUCCAACUUUCAGAUCACAAAGAGUGGGAGGAAAAGGUGUCCAGGCUGAUGAGAUUGAGCUCAUGUCUCGCACUAAGAGCAGAGUUCAUGAGGACUUGGUAGGAACAAGGCUUUGCCAUAGUGGCCAGCAAUUAUUCAUAAAUAGAAAUUCUUUUCAUAAGAAUCCAACACACAAUGAGCUAGAAUCUUCUAGUCCCAAUUCCAAAUGCAUUCUGAUUGGCUCAGCCAAAGUUAUAUAGCCACACUUGUCCCAUCAGUUUAGGUGUGGUGAUAUGGCUACUUGGAACCCAUCUCUUUGGCUGAUGGGGCAGGAUAGGGUCUUUAUACUGAACAGAACCACAGUGUGUGUUUUAUAAUUGUCUUGCCAAUUAAGAAGAUCUGUGCAGUGAUUUCCAUUCUCAGAAUAUCACUAUGUCAAAUGUGACAGCCUCCCUUAAAUUCUCCAUUUUCUUUCUUUUAAAAAAUGUCUUUUAAAAAAGUAUGUGUGUGUGUGUGUGUGUGUGUGUGUGUGUGUGUGUGUGUGUGUUUGGGGGUGGUAGUGAUGUGUGUAUAGCUUGCAUGUCAGAGGAAUGGUUCUCUCUCUCUAUCAUGUGGGUUCCGUGGGUUGAAUAAGCACCUUUACCUGCUGAAUCUCUUGGCAGCCCAAACCCCACUUUUUAGUUUAAUUCCACUCUCAGAAUUCAGGACACCAACUGCUGGAUGUGCACAAGGCUAAGGAUCCACAUCUGAGUUGUUGAAUUUGCAGCGUGGUUAUAUAUUUCUCUACAACCAUCACGGGGAUCAUCAUCAGUUAGAUUCAUCAAGAUGGUGGCCAGGUUACAUGAAUCACCCAAUGAUCACACAGUCACCAAAGACCCAGAAAUUGUGAGUCUUUUGUUCUUACGGCCUUCUUGGCCUGGAUUAAUUUUACAUAAUCCAGCGACUGAAAUCCUAUUUGGAAUUCUUAGGGUAUAACAACUGUCAAACCCCGUUGUACCCAGCCUCCCACGAUCCUGAGAAGUUUAAAUCACCAGCUUUACCACAAGAUAUAGGAUUCUCAUUUGAAUCUGAAUUUUGGAUACCAAAAGAAAAAUGUUAACAAUUGUAGUGCCAAAA